rnacentral:lncRNA from 13 species
AUGCAGUGGCAUGAUCUCGGCUCACUACAACCUCUGACUUCUAGGUUCAAGCAACUCUCCCACCUCAGCCUUCCGAGUAGCUGGGAUUACAGGCACAUGCCACCACCCCCGGUGCUCACCAUUCUGGGAAGAGGAAAAAUCCUUUAUGUAGAGCUCCACUGCAGUCCUUGGGCCUUAAAGGUUACAAGGAGAAGGGAGAGAUGGGGGCUGGGAAAGGAGCAGGAAGAGGGAGAUCUGUGUAGGGAGGGAAAAUGUGCCCCAUCGAUGACAAUCAUAGGACACGUCUUUCCUGAAAACAUGGCUGUUGGAGAACUUGGACUCUGGCGACUGCGAGCUGCCCUGUGA